rnacentral:rRNA from 1 species
GAUGAACGCUAGCUACAGGCUUAACACAUGCAAGUCGAGGGGAAACGACAUCGAAAGCUUGCUUUUGAUGGGCGUCGACCGGCGCACGGGUGAGUAACGCGUAUCCAACCUGCCCACCACUUGGGGAUAACCUUGCGAAAGUAAGACUAAUACCCAAUGAUAUCUCUAGAAGACAUCUGAAAGAGAUUAAAGAUUUAUCGGUGAUGGAUGGGGAUGCGUCUGAUUAGCUUGUUGGCGGGGUAACGGCCCACCAAGGCAACGAUCAGUAGGGGUUCUGAGAGGAAGGUCCCCCACAUUGGAACUGAGACACGGUCCAAACUCCUACGGGAGGCAGCAGUGAGGAAUAUUGGUCAAUGGACGAGAGUCUGAACCAGCCAAGUAGCGUGCAGGAAGACGGCCCUAUGGGUUGUAAACUGCCUUUAUAAGGGAAUAAAGUGAGUCUCGUGAGACUUUUUGCAUGUACCUUAUGAAUAAGGACCGGCUAAUUCCGUG